AUACACAAUUUAAUUGAAAUCAAGGUAAGACUUGGUUUUCUAGAUCUGAAUAUUUGGCAUGCAACAUUUUUUUAGUGGGAGCUGAAAAUGAACAGCGGCAAAGAGGAAUUAUGCACAAGAAAUUUGAUUUUUAACAAGAAGUUUAAAAUUCCAUCACUAAAGGCAUAAUUAUCAUCCUAUUAAUGGAUUUUCUCAAUCACCCUUCGAUCUCCUACAAUAAAACCCAUUUUUGCUCCUCUUUUUUUAUUGCAGCCAAAUGUUGGUUCACUGACAA
rnacentral:misc_RNA from 1 species